GGCCAGGUAGCUCAGUGGUUAGAGCGUCUGCUAUAUAUGCAAGAGGUCGUUGGUUCAAUCCCAACUCUGGCUG